rnacentral:rRNA from 1 species
UUGACAUCCAGAGAACUUGGCAGAGAUGCCUUGGUGCCUUCGGGACCUCUGAGACAGGUGCUGCAUGGCUGUCGUCAGCUCGUGUUGUGAAAUGUUGGGUUAACGUCCGCAACGAGCGCAACCCCUAUCCUUUGUUGCCAGCGAUUCGGUCGGGAACUCAAAGGGGACUGCCGGUGAUAAACCGGAGGAAGGUGGGAUGACGUCAAGUCAUCAUGGCCCUUACGAGUAGGGCUACACACGUGCUACAAUGGCGCAUACAAAGAGAAGCGACCUCGCGAGAGCAAGCGGACCUCAUAAAGUGCGUCGUAGUCCGGAUCGGAGUCUGCAACUCGACUCCGUGAAGUCGGAAUCGCUAGUAAUCGUAGAUCAGAAUGCUACGGUGAAUACGUUCCCGGGCCUUGUACACACCGCCCGUCACACCAUGGGAGUGGGUUGCAAAAGAAGUAGAUAGCUUAACCUUCGGGAGGGCGUUUACCACUUUGUGAUUCAUGACUGGGGUGAAGUCGUAACAAGGUAAGCGUAGCGAG